AAAGCUAAUAGCCUUUUGGCUAAGAUCAAGUGUAGUAUCUGUUCUUAUCAGUUUAAUAUGAUACAUGUACAUGUACGUCGCCUAGAGUGGCCAUCAGCCAGAUAGGCGACACAUAAAUUAAAUUUUAUUAUUAUUUAUUAUUAUUAUUAGAAGGCACUCUGCACCACCACCGAAGCCACUUGAGCUUCAAGUGACAGUAA